rnacentral:lncRNA from 1 species
GCAGGCUUAGUCACAGGUGGCUGCACAGGGGCUGAGUUUGGGGAGCAUAUGGAGAGAUGACAUACUCAGUAACCACAGGCCAAGGGCACCAUGAGUCACCCAGCUCCCUGGCACAUGGAACUGAGGGCAGAGUCCCUUUCGUGAUCGGCAAGGGCUUGACCCUGUUAGGAUGUGUGGCCAAGUUAACCAUUUAUGCCACGUCUUGUCAGAUUCCAGCUUCAGCUCAUUAUGGGCUUCACUCUGUCCCUAAAUUCCAGUGUCAGGAUAAUUAGAGGCUCAUCCUCCUGUUUGUACGUCUGAUAAGGUGUGAUGUCAGAUUACCUGCUCAUUUGCUCCCAGAACAGUGAACCCUGAGGCCUAGAGAAGUCUGUUCCUGUUGGGUGGACUCCAGAGGGAUUUUCCCUUCAUGGGGAUUUUGUAGAGAAAGCCUGGUGAAGCAGAGACUAGAUUCAGACUCACAGAAUUGUGACCCUGGCUCUGCCACUCACUGCUUGUGGCACUGUGGGUACAUCAAUUUAUCUCUCUGUGCCUCAGUUUCCUCAUCUAUGAAAUGGGGACAAAAUCAUCUGCUCUGCCUAGUUCCCUUGGAAGAGUAAGAUUUAACUCUGAAAUAAACUCAUGUUCUUAAAGGAUUGCCACAUUUGGAAAGGCCUUUCAUAUUUCAGCUUUCUAGGGCUCCUGUGGGGUAGGCAGGGUGAGUGCUUGUACUACUCCCAUUUUACAGAUGAAGAAACUGAGGACCAGAGUCACAUGGCCAGUUAGUGGUGAAGCCUGCACUUAACUCCAGGUCCUACUCUCUGUUCAUGAUGAUACCAGAAGGAGGAGAGAUGUCAAGGUGGUUGAAAGGGGCACUGCAGAAGAAACAGGGCCAUGAGAAUGAGAUACAGAAUGAAAUGCAAGCUCCUGGCCAUGGCCCUGGAUGGGGGAGCAGUGGGGAGGCCCUAUCUGAGCCCCCAGGCCAGAUGCUAGGACGGCUGCACACUCUGGCCUCUGCAGCCCCCACCCUCCUGCUGGGGGCCCUGCCCAUCUUCCACCACCCAGCAGUCCCUGAAAUCUGCCCUGUGUCCUCACAUACCCUCUCUUGUCCACACCUGGCCCAUCUCUGCGCUCUUACUUCUGGUUCUCCGGCCACAAACACCUUCCCUUGGCCCAUCUUUGAUUCCGUGGGAGCCUCCCUUCCUCCCAGAGGGACUACUGUGGGGGGUUUGGAGCUGGAAGCAGGAAUCCUCUCAUCCCUAGCUCCACACUCAUCCCUCUUAUCAAUUUACCACUUACAUGUCUGGUCCGGCGAUGCUCAGACAUCUGGCACCUGCCACAGGGCUAGUCAGGAAAGGUUUUUCCAAUUGAACUGUAUUGAGUAUAUUGCUCCCCUCCCUGGGCCUCAGCCUCUUCCCCUGUGGAGUGGGGUUCUUGGCAAUUGCUGUGCCAACUCCCCAGCCAGCAUCUAA